UGCAGGUUCACUGCCAGACCUCUAGUGGAGACCAUCUUUGAGAGAGGCAUGGCCACCUGCUUGGCCUACGGACAGACAGGAAGCGGAAAAACACACACUAUGGGUGGAGAUUUCUCUGGAAAGAACCAAGACUGCUGGAAAGGAAUUUAUGCAUUAGCUGGAUGUAUUUGUCAUUUUGAAGAAACCCAAUUACAAGAAUUUAGAUCUACAAGUGUAUGCAGCCUUCUUUCAAAUCUACAAUGAAAAGG